rnacentral:lncRNA from 10 species
AGAACCACCAACAUAUUGUUCUGCUUACCAUGACAUCAGCCACACCUCACAAACAUCCCAAAUGUGUUGGAUAGUGCUAUGUGUCAGCAAUCAGCAGUUGCCGGCAAUUGCACAAGUCAGCCUCUAACAUCAACUAGGGAGAAAGCCAGGGAACAAACCGAAGAUAAAGAAACAAGACACAAAUACUUCGAGUGCACAGCUGUUUGACAGAAGAGCCCAGAAUAGAGACUUUCCUACUGAGUCGUGACAAGAGGGAAGAGAAAGAUAAAGUCAAAAAGGAAGAGAAGAUGAUGAGGUUGAGGAAGC